rnacentral:ncRNA from 1 species
GUGGUGCAUGGCCGUUCUUAGUUCGUGGAGUGAUUUGUCUGGUUAAUUCCGAUAACGAACGAGACUCAAAUAUAUUAAAUAGAUAUCUUCAGGAUUAUGGUGUUGAAGCUUAUAUUGCCUUCAUUCAUGGUAGCAGUAAAAUGUUUAUUGUGUUUGAAUGUGUUUAUAUAAGUGGAGCCGUACCUGUUGGUUUGUCCCAUUAUAAGGACACUAGCUUCUUAAAUGGACAAAUUGCGUCUAGCAAUAAUGAGAUUGAGCAAUAACAGGUCUGUGAUGCCCUUAGAUGUCCUGGGCUGCACGCGCGCUACAAUGAAAGUAUCAACGUGUAUUUCCUAGACCGAGAGGUCCGGGUAAACCGCUGAACCACUUUCAUGCUUGGGAUUGUGAACUGAAACUGUUCACAUGAACUUGGAAUUCCUAGUAAGUGUGAGUCAUUAACUCGCAUUGAUUACGUCCCUGCCCUUUGUGCACACCGCCCGUCGCUACUACCGAUUGAAUUAUUUAGUGAGGUCUCCGGACGUGAUCACUGUGACGCCUUGCGUGUUACGGUUGUUUCGCAAAAGUUGACCGAACUUGAUUAUUUAGAGGAAGUAAAAGUCGUAACAAGGUUUCCGUAGGUGAACCUGCGGAAGGAUCAUUA